UCACCUCACAGAAGUUAGAAGGGUUCUUAAGAAGACAAAAAAUAAAAAGUACUGAUGAAGGUGUGGAGGAAAGGGAUCCCUCAGUACACUGUUGGUGGGAAUAUAAGCUGGUGCAGCCACUAUGGAAAAAGCAUAUGGAGGUUCUUCAAAAAGUUAAAAAUAGAACUACCCUACGGUCCAGCUCUUCCACUUCUAGCUUGGAAACACAGGGGAAGCUGAAGGUGGGGCAGCCAUCUUGUGACCAUGAGCCAUGCAGGAGGAUGAAACAGGAAGGAUCCCAGAUCACUGAUUUUACAAAAUCAAGAACUCACCAAGUGUGCCAACAGCUGUAAUUCUGGAGCAGCCAGCUCAUGUCCAGUGGGGACGAACGGCUUUGCCACCUCUAGGAGAUACGCGUCCCUUCAUUUAAAUAAGUGAGAUUAACAGAAACUAUUCAACCAGGAAGAUUCUAAUUCUGUUUUUGAAAAAUAUGAUACAAUAAUGCCUAAACUGGGUGCUUUAUUAGGGGCUAACGGUGAAUUUUAGAGUCCUUCCAGACUAAGAAUUGCUUUCACCUAUCACACACACAGAUUUAAGCAAAUAUUCCUAAAACGCAACGGUUCAUCACUGAGUUUAAGAGCCUGGAUUUAGAACCGACACGGCUUGCUUCGUAGCUGUGUGAACCAAGUGCCGUGGGCGCUGUGGCCAUAUUGCCCAGCAUUUCCAGCCUCACCUCCCAGGUAGCGGGCAGUGCCACCUACAGCACAGUCACUGUGAGAAUUACCACCCAGCUGCGUAAGAAUGCAAACACCACGUGUUUAAUACACGAUAAGGAGAAUUAUAAUGGCUAGUAUUAAUAUUUGAUUACCUUUAUAGCAAAAAAAAAAAAAGGAUCUGUUGACUGUUUCAUAAUCUGCCAUUGAACACAUUUCUAAUUCUCAAUCUUCUCUUCAUUUUACUAAGAACCACUGAGGGCUUUUUUGGUUGGAGUUUAAAUCAGAAUAGGAUGAACCCUUGCCUAUCAACCACUACACUGUGAGAUUCGGAGGGCUUCUAAGUGUGGUUACUAAACCCACAGCAUUGGCAUCACCUGGGAACCCGUAAAAAACGCAAAUUCUCAGGCUCCCCCAAGAACUACAUCUCCGGAACCAGAAGUGUUAGACCUGAGCAACAGUAAUGUGUGUUGAGUCCUCCAAGGGGGUCUUGAGCACGUUCAUUUUGAGAACAGCUAAAGGAAAUGUAGUCUUGGGUCAAUACCACUAACCUGUGGCCCUCUGAUGGCUCCUGGGAGGGGAUGAUAGAGGCUCCCCUGAUCCCUCACCUUUCCAGGUGCUGCUGGGGGCAACACCAGAGUCCCCCACACCCUCUCACUCAGCCUGAAGCAGAAGAAAGGUUAACAAGGCCAGCCAGGAGAGAAGCCUGCUCCUGGGGCAUCAAAUCCCACUGGCCCCCACUGGCCCCCACUGGCCUAACAAUCCUAACGGUCAGAAUCACAGGUGACAACUCAAAGCCCCUCCCAGAGGAGGACGGGUUCACACCAGCUCAUCCAUAAAAACCCUUACCAUGCAUCCACACAAAAACACAACCCUGAAUGUUCACAGCAGCACUGUUGCUAACAGCCAACAGGUGGGAAGAACCCAAACACCCCCCGCCCCCAGCUGGUAAGCAGACAAACAAAAUGUGGCGCAUCCAUACAAGGGAAUAUUAAUGGACCAUGAAAAGGAACGAAGCACUAAUAUGUACUACAACACGAUGAACCUUGAGAACACGCUAAGUGAAAAAAGCCACAAAGGACCACGGAGCAUGUGAUUCCACAUCUAUGACACGUUCCCAACAGGCAGUCUAGAGACACAGAAAACAGAUGAGCAGUUGUCUCAGGUUUGAAGGAGGCGUGGGACGCAUGGAAGUGGCAGCCAUGGGCUUCCUUCUG